UACGGAGGGGGCGAGCGUUGUUCGGAAUUACUGGGCGUAAAGGGCGCGUAGGCGGCGAACCAAGUCAGAUGUGAAAGUCCUGGGCUUAACCUGGGGACUGCAUUUGAUACUGGUUUGCUUGAAUUCGGGAGAGGAUAGCGGAAUUCCCAGUGUAGAGGUGAAAUUCGUAGAUAUUGGGAAGAACACCGGUGGCGAAGGCGGCUAUCUGGACCGACAUUGACGCUGAGGCGCGAAAGCGUGGGGAGCAAACAGG
rnacentral:rRNA from 1 species